rnacentral:rRNA from 1 species
CAUGCAGUCGAGCGGGGAAGGUAGCUUGCUACCGGACCUACGGCGGACGGGUGAGUAAUGCUUAGGAAUCUGCCUAUUAGUGGGGGACAACAUCUCGAAAGGGAUGCUAAUACCGCAUACGUCCUACGGGAGAAAGCAGGGGAUCUUCGGACCUUGCGCUAAUAGAUGAGCCUAAGUCGGAUUAACUAGUUGGUGGGGUAAAGGCCUACCAAGGCGACGAUCUGUAGCGGGUCUGACAGGAUGAUCCGCCACACUGGGACUGAGACACGGCCCAUACUCCUACGGGAGGCAGCAGUGGGGAAUAUUGGACAAUGGGGGGAACCCUGAUCCAGCCAUGCCGCGUGUGUGAAGAAGGCCUUAUGGUUGUAAAGCACUUUAAGCGAGGAGGAGGCUACUUUAGUUAAUACCUAGAGAUAGUGGACGUUACUCGCAGAAUAAGCACCGGCUAACUCUGUGCCAGCAGCCGCGGUAAUACAGAGGGUGCGAGCGUUAAUCGGAUUUACUGGGCGUAAAGCGUGCGUAGGCGGCUUAUUAAGUCGGAUGUGAAAUCCCCGAGCUUAACUUGGGAAUUGCAUUCGAUACUGGUGAGCUAGAGUAUGGGAGAGGAUGGUAGAAUUCCAGGUGUAGCGGUGAAAUGCGUAGAGAUCUGGAGGAAUACCGAUGGCGAAGGCAGCCAUCUGGCCUAAUACUGACGCUGAGGUACGAAAGCAUGGGGAGCAACCAGGAUUAGAUACCCUGGUAGUCCAUGCCGUAAACGAUGUCUACUAGCCGUUGGGGCCUUUGAGGCUUUAGUGGCGCAGCUAACGCGAUAAGUAGUCCGCCUGGGGAGUACGGUCGCAAGACUAAAACUCAAAUGAAUUGACGGGGGCCCGCACAAGCGGUGGAGCAUGUGGUUUAAUUCGAUGCAACGCGAAGAACCUUACCUGGCCUUGACAUACUAGAAACUUUCCAGAGAUGGAUUGGUGCCUUCGGGAAUCUAGAUACAGGUGCUGCAUGGCUGUCGUCAGCUCGUGUCGUGAGAUGUUGGGUUAAGUCCCGCAACGAGCGCAACCCUUUUCCUUACUUGCCAGCAUUUCGGAUGGGAACUUUAAGGAUACUGCCAGUGACAAACUGGAGGAAGGCGGGGACGACGUCAAGUCAUCAUGGCCCUUACGGCCAGGGCUACACACGUGCUACAAUGGUCGGUACAAAGGGUUGCUACACAGCGAUGUGAUGCUAAUCUCAAAAACCCGAUCGUAGUCCGGAUUGGAGUCUGCAACUCGACUCCAUGAAGUCGGAAUCGUUAGUAAUCGCGGAUCAGAAUGCCGCGGUGAAUACGUUCCCGGCCCUUGUACACACCGCCCGUCACACCAUGGGAGUUGUUGCACCAGAAGUAGCUAGCCUACCUCAAAGAGGCAC